UACAGAGGGUGCAAGCGUUGUUCGGAAUUAUUGGGCGUAAAGGGCGCGUAGGCGGUGCCACAAGUCACCUGUGAAAUCUCCGGGCUUAACUCGGAGCCUGCAGGCGAAACUGUGGUGCUGGAGUGUGGGAGAGGUGCGUGGAAUUACCGGUGUAGCGGUGAAAUGCGUAGAUAUCGGUAGGAACACCAGUGGCGAAGGCGGUCUCCUGGGGCAUUCUUGACGCUGAGGCGCGAAAGCUGGGGGAGCGAACGGG
rnacentral:rRNA from 1 species